rnacentral:rRNA from 1 species
GACGAAGGGGGCUAGCGUUGUUCGGAAUUACUGGGCGUAAAGCGCGUGUAGGUGGUUGUCAUAGUCAGGCGUGAAAGCCUUGAGCUCAACUCAAGAAAUGCGCUUGAUACUGGGCAGCUAGAGGACCGGAGAGGAUAGUGGAAUUCCCAGUGUAGUGGUGAAAUACGUAGAGAUUGGGAAGAACACCAGUGGCGAAGGCGGCUAUCUGGACGGUUUCUGACACUAAGACUCGAAAGCGUGGGGAGCAAACAGG